GCUGUGACCUGGCAGGGCAGGUGUGGGUGGCUGACAGGUGCAGUAAAGGGAGGGAAGGACUCGCCUGCUCGGUGACCCUCUCUCAGGGCCUCUCCCUCCCAGCACUUGUCACCCUGUAAGAUGAGUUACUUAUGUGGCGCUCGAGGCAUGAAAGUGACCAUCUCCUGACUUUUCUCAAUAACACAAAGGCCGGCUCUGAGAUUCAGCUCAUGAGGAAGCCAGGUCCAGCCACUUCUGGGCUGUCCUUACAGAAACGCCAUGAGGCCGUCACGAUCCAUGGUGGCCACCCUGCCCUUUCCCUUGCUGAGUCACCAGCAUGUCCCUGCUUCACUGGGGAGGCCUCUGCGAUGAGGUCCUGGUUCCCAGCAGGGACAGACACCCAAACCGUCACCUCCUGCAGCUGAUCCCGAGGGGCUGGGGCCUCACUCCUCCAGUCCCCCACAUUCAACACCGCAAAGCACUCAGAUCAGCUGUUCUCAUCGGAUUCACCUGCAGAGAUUUAAAAACUACUGACCACCGGCUCUCACCUCAGAUUUCCCAGUUUAAUCACCUGGAUGUAGUCUGGGCAUGGGGACUUUCGAAAGUUCCAAGUGAUUCUAACCUGCAGCCAAGAUUGAAGCGACUGCCAGCCCAGUUCCUCUUCACUGGGCACAGACAACAGGCACCUCCCCAGCUACCUGCAGAGCAGGAGCAGUUAACGUCAACAUGGGACGCCAGCCUCCUGCCUGCCCAGAUGCUGUGUCUUUAAAAGCCUUGCUAGGCUGAGGACAGGGGCUGAAGGGCGGCCUGAAGUGGGCAGCGUGGUACCGCUUGCCCAGAGUUUUGAAAACAAAAGCUUCUUCCUGUCCUCACCCAGCAGGUAAAGGAAGACCCAGCCUUAUCUCUUUGGGGGAAUAAGACGCUUAUUUCUAAACCAGGUUGUAGCAACAUCCCUGAAAAAUUAUCCUGCUAUGCUGGUUUACUUGUCUCUACCCGCCCCAGAUGCCUGUUCCACGGGACCGGGGACCUCGUCUGUGCUUCUACUGCUGUCUCCCUACUUUCCAGGACAGAGCCUGGCCCUCAGCCCAUCGCUGUUGUGGGAACAGAGGAGCGUCCGAGUGGAUGGAUGGAUGGGUGGGUGGAUACACCAUGAGCAUAUGGAUGGAUGAACAAGGAUCACCGCCUCUCGGGAGGCUGCAGAAAACCAGCCUUGCACUCAGGGUUUAUGGCCCCUUUCAAAAGCCAGAAUCGGCAAGGGGCAUCUGAAAGCAGAGCGGCCAAUAAAUUCAAUUUCUAAAAAGGCCAGAACCUCAGAGCCCCAGGAAGUUGUAUUAUAGCAAUUCACGUGGUUGCAAUUUAAGAUUUUAUAGGAGCAGCCACCGCGUCAGCCUCUCUGUCUUGUGACAAGCAGACCCCAUGACUGAGGAGCAGAAAGAAAGUGUGUUCCUCAGAAAGCCGUCGACCGCGAAGAGUGACCUUUCAGAUACAAUUUACAGGAGAAGAAAAAAAAUGCUGCAAUGAAAAGAAGAUUUUUGUCUUGCAUUCUUUCCCAGCUACCUUUGUUCCUGGAGGAAGCAUCUUUGAGCCAUCGUUGUGAAGGCCUUCUCUCUGCAGCUGUCCGGAAGGCAGCUCCCCAGGGCAGGGACGCCUCUGAGCGGGUGGGAGAUGGGAGGAUGGGAGGUGGCCGCUGUCAGCUCCUGUCCUGACCUGGCUUCAUUCGAGCUGUGCCUGAUGGGCGCGCAGGUCUGGAAGCCGCUCGCCUCUCUUCGUGCAGCCCUGCGAAUGAGGUGAUGUCCAUCUCACAGAAGAGGAAACUGAGGCCCUGCGUCACACAGCUGGCAGGUGAAAGAGCCGUGUGUUUGAGGCAAAGCCCAGUGACUGGCACCAGUAGAAAAGGUGGAGGAGGAGCCUGUGGUGGGGCACCGGCCUUGCCAGGCAGCAUCCAGGAGAACAAGUGCCCUAGGAAUCUGAGACUCGCCAUGGAUGCCAAGAACAGGACAGGAAACUGAGACCCAGAGAGGUGGAGCAAAAAUGCCCGAAAUUACGUAGUUGGUUAAGAGCAGAAUGGGGACUCGCACGUGCUUUCUGCUCUACGGUGCCACCUUCUCAAAGGAGGAAAUUUACCUGCCAGCCUUGCCCACAGGCCCAGACGGAGGAGUUCAACUUCUUCCCAGAGCUGGGGAGGAGCUCCAAGUGAUUACGCUGUGAAAUUGACCUGGCAGCUCAGCGUUGAGAUUGAAGCUAAUUAAUUUUGCCUGACUUGAUGGAAUCCUCUUCAUUCUCAAUCCUCUCUCUGCUCUUGGACAAAAGAUGAGUGAGGGGGAUGUGGAGGGAAAUGUAACUGGCAAAGUAGCUUCUCUGUGUGGCCACCUGGCGUUUCCCGUGUAGCCCACACUGGGUUUUCAAGCACAGACAUUCUCUUCUCAGGGGGUCUGGGUGGAAAGAAAGCUGGAGGCUUGUAGGGGAUUUCAUCUGUUUCCAGCAGGACUGCAGAGGAAUUGAAAAUAAGGAGUGUGGAGGAAGAAGCAGAGGGGGAUUUACGAGUCCAGCUGUGCAGACUUUUGGAGAAAUUCAGAGAAGUUUUUAAAGCUGGAAAUGUUCUCAGAAGUCGUCUAUUCCAUUCUAGCCCUCCCUUAUAAAAUUGUGGCAAUCUUUGAGUCAGUUUGGACUGAAGUCUGGGAACUUGACCUGAGAGGAGAAAGCUCGGGCAAGGACCCAUGGGGCCGUUGUCCUGUGCUUGGUCAAGUCCACGGAUUGAGGGUGACAUCUGAGAAUGAUCUGUGGCUACAGCGGUGGGGAACAGCGUCUGAUCCAGGGUCCCAUCGGAGAUGCCAUAUUACAUUUAGUUGUCGUGUAGCCUUAGGCUCCCCUUGGCUGUGACAGUUUCUCAGACCCACCGAAGGGGUGCUGUCUGGUCAGAUCUGAGUUUUGGAAAACUCUGGGACUAGAGUGAUGGAAGGAGGGUGCCUUCUCAGAGUGGGUCUCAGGGGAUGGAGGAUGACGGGUGGACUUGCUGGUGUCUGGGUUCAGACCCAGCUUUGCUCCCUAAAAUGACCCAUAAUGAUUCUAUUCUCCUUUUCACAUUAUUUUUCAGCAAUUUGGGGUCAGAUGCAGUAUGCGUUGAGUCUUCUCUUCUGUAAACUAAGCUUCUCCUGGGCUUUGAAACACAGCUCCUCACAUUGUUAUUUUGAGUUAGCUUGACUUCUUGGGUGCUUUUCUUGGAGAAUGCUCUAGUUUGUCAGCUUUCCUCUUAAAGUGAAUACAACUCACUGCAUGGGGUCUGGUCAGGAAGGACGGACAUCUCCCUUACUCUGGCAUCAAAAUUUAUUAAGCCUGGGGCUGGCCCCGUGGCCGAGUGGUUAAAUUCGUGCGCUCCGCUGCAGGCGGCCCAGUGUUUCGUUGGUUGGAAUCCUGGGCGCGGACAUGGCACUGCUCAUCAAACCACGCUGGGGCAGCAUCCCACAUGCCACAACUAGAAGGACCCACAACGAAGAAUAUACAACUAUGUACUGGGGGGUGUUGGGGAGAAAAAGGAAAAAAUAAAGUCUUUAAAAAAAAA
rnacentral:lncRNA from 1 species